rnacentral:tRNA from 1 species
GAUUGAUUAGUUUAUAAAAAAUAUUAAUUUGUGGAAUUAAAGAAUCUUUCAAUCA